rnacentral:rRNA from 1 species
GAUUACGGGGGGAAUUUAAGCAUAUUAGUACCCCUAGGAAUAGAAAGCAACUGCGAUGGGCCCAGUAGAGGCGAUUGAACAGCUCAUAGUACAGCCUGAAGCCAUUACGGCACUGUGGGCUAGCUUAGCACGACCGUGCAGAUCGCCUGCAUGUGAACAGUGUGGAAACGCUGUGCAAUGGCCGUGAUAGCCGGCACACAUGUAGGUGAUUUGUACCUAUGUGAGAAGCGUAGAGUAGCGUAGGCCGACACCCCUGCGUGAAGUUGACAGGUGCACGCCUGUCAAUACUAAAUAUAAGUCAACAGACCGAUAGCGUAGCAGUACUGUGAAGGAACGUUGAAAAGUAUGCCUGAGGGCAAGUGAAAUAGACCACAAAACAGCCAUGCUGCAACCUUGUGAGUGCCAGGUGGCCAGGUGGCCGUAACAUAGUUACGGUCAGCUACAGCCUACACAGACUGACAGGUCAAGUCUGACGCUAGCCUUAGGCCGACAGCUCGCCUGCCGGCCCGAUGAGAGCGGAUGAUUAAACCAGUUAGUCUGGAUGGGAAAGUAGCAUUACCUUGCUAGCCUAGAGCUCGCAAGACUCGUCUUGUAACACGAAUCAAGGAGUUCACCAACAGUGCAAGGCACGGCAGCUAUAGCUGCCACGCCGCAAUGAAGGUAAUUGGGCCUGCCAGCCCAGACCUUGCUUUAGCAUUGAGUGAAGUACUGUUGAUGAGACCCGAAAGGUGGCGAUCUACCCUUGGCAGGCUUGAAGCCAGGUCAACACCUGGUGGAGGAGCUUAGCGGUGCUGACGUGCAAAUCGUUCGUGCAAGCUGAGGCUAGGAGCGAAAGACUCAUCGAGCCACCUAGUAGCUGGUUUUGGCCGAAAUGUUCCUUAGAAUAGCAUGAGCAACCAUACAGCAACAUCUGGUAAAGCUAAUGACUGGAGGCAGCUGGGCCGUAAGGCCUAGCACUACUCUCAAACUUUCAAUAGGUGUCAGGCCAGGCAGCCUAGCAGGUGCCUGGCCGUAUGUGUACGUGCUCAUAGUGGGUCGUGGUUUGGUAAGCAGGUCAGACAAAGCGGGCUAAACCGUGAAGCAGAGAACGGCAGCCAAAUGGUAGCUAGUAUCUAGCAAAAAGGUGUCUCUACGUGAUGACAGCAGGGUGGUGGCCAUGGAAGUCGGCAACCAGUAAGGAGUGUGUAACAACUCACCUGCCGAACGUAGUGGCCCUGAAAAUGGAGGCCGAGCGUCUACCAUGCCUUGCUCUGGGAGGCGAGUGCAUACACUCGCCUAGUAGGCUAACAUGUUGACAGUGAUGACGGCGGCAGGGUGACCUGCCAGGCGAGCUGUCAAUAGAGAAGAUCUUGGUGAUAGUAGCAAUCAGCCAAGCAAGCAGACAGCUAUACGCUUGACGGCCGUAGUGGAGAAGGUUUGCCUGUCAACAGCGAUUGCGCAGGCGUUAGCCAGGCCUAAGCCGGCCACCUUCGGGUGUCCCGGCGAAAGGGCAGCUGGCUAGUAUUCCAGCGCCAGGUAAGGUGCUGUCCAAUGUAGGUUGGUCUGGUUCGCCAGGCCAACUCAUUGGACCAUGGUGACAUAUAGUAGUUACAGGCUACAGUUGGCUGGUCAGCUCGAGAGAGUCGUCUCUUCUGCCUAACACCUGUGAAAGCGGAGCCGUAAGGCUCUCGUGGCCGGGCACUGAGCUAGCGUUGAGCUGAGACGUGCCGGGCAGCUACAGGGGAAGGGUCAGACCGUAGGUCUGACGAGCCUGACCAGACAGCCCAUGCAGCCAAACGCCUGUACUACCUGCUUCGGCAGCAGCGCCUUACCUGUCUGUACCCUAAACCGCAUCAGGUCUCCUCAGUGUAUAGCUUCUGGCCUGAUAGAUUAAUGCAAUCAAGGGAAGUCGGCUUAAUUGGGCCGUACCUUCGGUAGAAGGCCUUGCUCUGAUGGUGUAGCCAGCUGGCAGCUUGGUGGCCUGGUUUGUCUUUGCCGAUAGUGGAUACUGUAGUAGCUUCGGCGAGGCGGUUGAAGCAAUCAGCACGGGCGGGCCGCCGUGCCACCUUGCUGACAGGUACGACUGGGUGCGCCUGGUCGGACCGCACAGCUGGCAUCUAUACACCUACAGGAACAUGCAGUACCAUGGAAGAUCUGACUGUUUAAUUAAACCAUAGCCUUCUGUAAGCGCUUCAGCGUGUAGACAGAAGGUGACUUCUGCCCAGUGCUUAGAAUGUCAACGCGUGAGAGGUUCGAGCAAGCAUGGGUCAACGGCGGGAGUAACUAUGACUCUCUUAAGGUAGCCAAAUGCCUCGUCUAUUAAUUGUAGACGCGCAUGAAUGGAUUAACGAGAUCUUCACUGUCCCUGAUUGCCCUCUAGCGAACUCACAGACAGGGGAACGGGCCUGUAGUGGUCAGCGGGGAAAGAAGACCCUGUUGAGCUUGACUCUCGCUUGCCGCGUGCAGGCGCUUUCACGGUGUAGUUGUAGGUGGGAGGCUUCGGCCAACGAUGAAAUACCACUACGUGGACUAGUGCCUGAGCUCACCUGGUGACAGCCUGGCCGACCUGUAUGGGGUUUACCUUGUGCAGGUCGUUGUAGGCAUACAGCUGCAUUGCAGCAGGGCAUGAUCGACCAGGGAAAUCGGCUUGUUGGGAGUUUGGCUGGGGCGGCACGGCUGUUAAAGGCUAACACAGGCGUACAAUGGGCAGCUCGGUAAGGUCAGAACCCUUACUUAGCGGACAAGGCUAAAAGCUGCCUUGACCUGCUCGCUCAGUAGGCGAGCGGGAGCUGAAAGGCGGUCCUAGAGAUCCUUCGUCUUCUAGCGUUGCUGGGACGGAGGUGUCAGAAAAGUUACCAUAGGGAUAACUGGCUUGUGGCGGCCAAGCGUUCAUAGCGACGCCGCUUUUUGAUCCUUCGAUGUCGGCUCUUCCUAUCAUGCAGUCGCAGAAGACUGCAAGCGUGUGAUUGUUCACCAACUAACAGGGAACGUGAGCUGGGUUUAGACCGUCGUGAGACAGGUUAGUUUUACCCUACUGACCAACAGCGAGUGUGGCUGAUAAAUAGUAAGCACAGGCUAGUACGAGAGGAACGCUUAUGCCUGGCCUCUAGCGCGGCUAUUGCCUGACAGAGCAGUGUAGCGACGCCACGCCGGCCACCUAAUAGCUGGAAGCCUCUAAGCUAGAAGGUGGACUACGAAUCAGU